CACGUAGGGGGCAAGCGUUGUCCGGAUUUAUUGGGCGUAAAGAGCUCGUAGGUGGUUCGGUAAGUAGGGGGUGAAAUCCUGCGGCUUAACCGCAGGGCUGCCUUCUAAACUGUCAGGCUUGAGCACGGUAGAGGCAGAUGGAAUUCCCGGUGUAGCGGUGGAAUGCGUAGAGAUCGGGAAGAACAUCAGUGGCGAAGGCGGUCUGCUGGGCCGUUGCUGACGCUGAGGCGCGACAGCGUGGGGAGCAAACAGG
rnacentral:rRNA from 1 species